UACAGAGGGUGCGAGCGUUGUUCGGAAUUAUUGGGCGUAAAGGGCGCGUAGGCGGUGCGGUAAGUCACCUGUGAAAUCUCCUGGCUCAACUGGGAGCUUGCAGGCGAAACUGCCGUGCUGGAGUGUGGGAGAGGUGCGUGGAAUUCCUGGUGUAGCGGUGAAAUGCGUAGAUAUCAGGAGGAACACCUGUGGCGAAAAGCGGCGCACUGGACCACAACUGACGCUGAGACGCGAAAAGCGUGGGGAGCAAACAGG
rnacentral:rRNA from 1 species